AGCACCUACGGUGGCCCCACAAUCGUUCAGGCAUAAGGAUAUUGGAUCCGACUACGUUUUGCUGGAAUGGGACACAGUUCAUCAUAGGCCGAUCGAGGGAUACAAGCUAAGCUAUUGGUACGAAGACGGGAGUAAGACACGCGUAAAACGCGCGGUUAGUUCGUGUGUGGGAGAAAAGAACGCGUGCGUAACCUUUAUCAAAAA